UUCAUAUAGCUCAGUUGGGAGAACAUAAGACUCUUAAUCUGAGGGUUUUGGGUUCGACACCCACAUUGGGCAAAA